AAUCUUCCGAGGAUGCUGAAAUUUCUCUUUUCAAAGAGCGCCGUAUUGGCUGGGAAUCUACUUGGGGCAGCCCGGUGUCACGGUGUGGCAGCUUCAAUGAUACAACCACACUGUCUCCUAUGUACUUUACGCACUGCGCACCUAGUGUCAUCGCAUCCUACAGGACCGAUGCCUUGCAGAUCUACUCCUUCAAAAUCUGUGACCUAAAUGACAACUUGAAGUGGCCACUCUAUGUGUAUGGCGUGGUGGCUGCUCGAGAUGAUGUGGACUGUAACCGCAACCUUCUCUUCUGUCGCUCCAGGGCUAACUGCCAAGUAGUCACAGAAAAGGAUCCUGUUUUGCACUUGACUGGCCCUUCUCGUGCAAUUGUGGCUGACGAACCUGUUGACUUUGAAGUCGAACUAAAGAUAAAUUGUGGAACAGAUCAGUCCCAAGAUAAAGCAUUGAUCAGUUCUAC